GAUUGAGUUUGAUCCUGGCUCAGGAUGAACGCUGGCGGCGUGCUUAAUACAUGCAAGUCGAACGAAGUUUGUAGCAAUACAUUCUUAGUGGCGAACGGGUGAGUAACGCGUUGGUGACCUGCCCCGAAGAGGGGGAUAACAGUCCGAAAGGACUGCUAAUACCCCAUGUGAUCCCCGGUUUUAGAAUCUGGUGAUUAAAGGCGAAAGUCGCUUCGGGAGGGGCCUGCGUCCCAUCAGCUAGUUGGUAGGGUAAUGGCCUACCAAGGCUAUGACGGGUAGGGGACCUGAGAGGGUGGCCCCCACAAUGGAACUGAAACACGGUCCAUACACCUACGGGUGGCAGCAGUAGGGAAUAUUGGUAAUGGGCGAAAGCCUGAACCAGCAACGCCGCGUGUGCGAUGAAGGCCUUCGGGUCGUAAAGCACUUUUUGGAGGGAUGAGGAAGGACAGUACCUCCAGAAUAAGCCUCGGCUAACUACGUGCCAGCAGCCGCGGUAACACGUAGGAGGCAAGCGUUAUUCGGAUUUACUGGGCGUAAAGCGCGUGCAGGCGGUUCGGAAAGUUGGAUGUGAAAGCUCCUGGCUUAACUGGGAGAGGUCGUUCAAUACUUCCGGACUUGAGAGUGGGAGAGGGAGGUGGAAUUCCGGGUGU
rnacentral:rRNA from 1 species